rnacentral:rRNA from 1 species
UGGCGCAGCCAUACCUGCAGUCGAACGAGUCACUAUCUAGCUUGCUAAAUAUCAUUAGUGGCAGACCCCUUUUGGACCUUUAGGAAUCUGCCUAGUAGUGUGCUCUAGCUCUCAUCAAACUCGAAUUACUACCGCAUACGACCUACGGGUGAAAGGGGGCGCAAGCUCUUGCUAUUACAUGAGCCUAAGUCAGAUUACCUAGUUGGUGGGGUAAAGGCCUACCCAGGCGACGAUCUGUAACUGGUCUGAAAGGAUAAUCAGUCACACCGGAACUGAGACACGGUCCGGACUCCUACGGCAGGCAGCAGUAGGGAAUAUUGAACAAUGGGGGCAACCCUGAUCCAUCCAUGCCGCGUGUGUGAAGAAGGCCUUUUGGAUGUAAAGCACUUUAAGCAGGGAAGAGAGGCUAAUGGUUAAUACCCAUUAGAUUAGACGUUACCUGCAGAAUAAGCACCGGCUAACUCUGUGCCAGCAGCCGCGGUAAUACAGAGGGUGCGAGCGUCAAUCGUAAUUACUGGGCGUAAAGCGAGUGUAGUUGGCUCAUUAAGUCACAUGUUAAAUCCCCGGGCUUAGCCUGCUAACUGCAUGUCAUACUGGUGAUGCUAGAAUAUGUGAGAAGGAAAUACAAUUCCAGGUGUAGCGGUGAAAUGCUAAGCGAUCUAACGCAAUACCGAUAGCCAAUCCAGCUUCCUGGCAUAGUAUUGACUCUGAGAUUCCAAAGCGUGCGUAGCAAACAAGAUUCCAUACCCUGCUAGUCCACGCCGUAAACGAUGUCUACUAUCCGUUGGGGUCCUUGAGACUUUAGAGCCACAGUUAACGCUAUACUAGACCGCCUGAGGAGUACGGCCUCAAGGUUAAAACUCAUAUGCAUUGACGGGGGCCCGCACAAGCUGUGGAGCAUGUGGUCUAAUUCGAUGCAACGCCUUAACCUUACCUGGUCUUGACGUAGUCAGAAUCCUUCUGAGAUGCGUCAGUACCUUAGCGAAAUCACAUACGCGUGCUGCCUGGCUAACCUCAGCUCUGUCGUGAGAGGUUUAGUUCAGCUCCCGAAUCGAACCCUUCCUUUUACUUUUUUUGCAAGGGGGUUAGACGGGAACUUUCAGGGAUCCUCCCAGGGAAGACUGGAAGAAGGCCGGGAACAACGUCCACUUAUGUUGACCCUUACAACAGGGGUUAAAACGGGGGUAACAAGGGAAGU